rnacentral:lncRNA from 1 species
AGUGCCUUCGGGGGCUCCACCACCGCGCGCUCCCACCCUCAAGGUCUGCAGGACACACCAAAGAACUCCUCCAAGUCACACAAGGGAGAAAAUUAACUUCAUUGGCUUCUAUCAGGAAAGCUAUUUUUUUUUUCCUCUUCUUUCCUGCAAGUUUCCCAAACCCCAUGACUCUGAUUUCCAGGUCAGAGACUAAGGUUUUAUUUUUCUUACUCUGUAUACUUUAUAUGUGGAGAGUCCCUGAAGGAACACUGUGAUGGGCUGAUUACUGUGAGCCAGUUGUGGGCCAGACCUGGCCUCAGGUGCUGCAAAGGGAAUUCAGUCACCCCUGUGCAGUGAUCUGUGAGCCCCAAGUCAGAUCCAACUUUUUCCUGAUAGACAGCACCCUCCUCCUCCCUACCAAGAAAUAGCAGGGUUGGAGGUAGUGACCCAAUAUUCAAGAGGUUUGAAAUUCUACAUGAGAUAUUUCUGAGUUAACUCCUAAAUAGCAGUUUCCUUAAUCAUGUGGAAAAUAAGAACACUUACUAAAGAGACCAUUGGUUUAAGAGAAAUGGAAACUUAUGUCCACGUAAAAACCUGUAAAUGAAUGUUCACAGCAGCCUUUUCAUAAUAGCCAAAAAGGGAAAGCAAUCCACACGUCCAUCAACCAAUGAAUGGAUAAACUUAACGUGGGAUAUACGUGUAAUGGAAUGCUAUUUGGUGAAGAAAGAAAUGAAAUAUUAAUACAUGCGUUAACAAGGAUGGACCUUAAAAUAUCAUGCUAAGUAAGAGAAGCCUGUCACAAAAGAAUAUGUAUUGUACCAUUCUACUUAUAUGAAAUUCCUAGAAUAGGCAAUUCUAUAGGGACAGAAACUAGACUAGUGAUUGGCUAGAGCUUGGGGAGAGUUUGGGGAGCCUGGAGGAUGACAGCAAAGUGGUGCAGAGUUUCUUUUUAGGUUGAUUAAAUGUUGUAAAAUUAAUUGUAGUGAUGGUUGUGCAACUUUGUGAUUUUGUUAAAAACCAUUGCAUUUUGCCCUUUAAAUGGAUGAAUUGCACAAUGUGUGAAUUAGACAUAAGUUUAUUUACAUAAUUAAUAUCUAUUUAUUGAUAUAUAACUCAUAUAUCAAUAAAUAUAUACUAUAUAAAAUAAUUUUAUAUUUAUAUAAAAUGUGAAUUAUAUAUAAAUACAUAAAUAAAACUGCUAAAAACUAAAAAAUAUAUACUUUAAAAAAAGGCUGUUCGUUUCUUUCACAUUUUCUGAGCACAAUCACUUUGGGAUAAAUGUGUCCAGGCUUAAAAAGCCAGAUUUUAUGGGCUAACUAAAAUGGAAAUGUGAAAAACUGUGUUUUUUUCCAUAGGAGGAGAGAGUCUGAUUUGCAGGUACGUGCAUACCCACAGCAGUCAUACUUGUAAUUCUUGGAAACUUUGCUGAAAGUUUUUUCCUAGCCUGAAAUCAUUAAAAUAUGUUGAAACAAUGACA